rnacentral:lncRNA from 10 species
CUGGGCUGAGUUUGCAGGGCUGCUCCCCUCACCCAACCCCUUCGAGUCCUCCGCGGGCUCCGCCCCACCCGGCCCGUGGGGGAGGUUCCGUCCCGCCGCCUUCGCCCGCGCGCUGCACUCGCGGACGAUCUCUGCUCGCCUUGGGCGCGCCGUGGCGCGCGGGGCCGUGCUGGCGCUGCGGCUCCUCGGCCUGCUCCGCCGUCUGGUGGCCGCCCCGGGCUGACUUUGACUUAGCGAUGCCUUUCCUGAUGGAGGAAACAGUGACCCAGCACCACCUAAUGCCCCCAAACCAAAGCCAGAUCCAAACCCCAACCGACCUGGUUUCACUGGUGACCCAGCACCACCUAAUCCCCCCAAACCAAAGCCAGAUCCAAAUCCCAACUGACCUGGUUUCACUGAUAAGAGCCUCUAACCCUACGGGGUGGUCUCUAUGUUGUUUACCUGGCAGUGAUGUCCGUGUCAUCUGAGAAGAGGAGAUUUCAGGGGCUGACUUUGACUUAGCAGAUGCCUUUCGUGAUGGAGGAAAUAACGACCCAGCACCUCUUAAUUCACCCAAGCUGAAGCCAAAUGCGAACCCUGAGCAGCCUGGAUUCAUUGGGGAUGACUUUGACUUAGCAGAUGCCUUACAUGACAAAGGAAACUACGAGCCAGCACCACUGAACCCACCCAAACCAAAGCCAAAUCCAAACCCCAAGCAGCCUGAUUCCACCGGGGAUGACUUUGAUUUCACAGAUGUUUCUUCAUGGUGAACGAAACAGGGAGUUGCCUCGAUUCUGAUGUGUUUGCUUCGGUGCUCUGUGUAUUGUAUUCAUCCCACUCUUCAAUUCAUAAACUCUGGAGAUUCUUCAAUUCACUGGGCAAACCAUAUGCCUAAGUCUAUCCUCUGAUGGAGGCUCGUACAUGCAAAAUCCAAUAGCAACCUGGGAAGAUUUCAGUCAAGACCCAAGAGGAGGCUGGCAUCAGGCUCUCGGUCACCGAUCUUCACAUUCAGGUUUCCUGAUGCACUUUGCGACUCUUUGGGCAACCUCUGGACUCCUUGUUCCCAGGGUCCACAUUUAGUUUUAUCUUUACUGCAUUGCUUUUAUGAAAAAGAAUAAAAUUGGAUGAAACAGA